rnacentral:rRNA from 1 species
AAAGGAAGAUUAAUACCGCAUAAGAUUGUAGUACCGCAUGGUACAGCAAUUAAAGGAGUAAUCCGCUAUGAGAUGGACCCGCGUCGCAUUAGCUAGUUGGUGAGGUAACGGCUCACCAAGGCGACGAUGCGUAGCCGACCUGAGAGGGUGAUCGGCCACAUUGGGACUGAGACACGGCCCAGACUCCUACGGGAGGCAGCAGUGGGGAAUAUUGCACAAUGGGCGAAAGCCUGAUGCAGCAACGCCGCGUGAACGAUGAAGGUCUUCGGAUCGUAAAGCCCUGUUUUCUGGGACGAUAAUGACGGUACCAGAGGAGGAAGCCACGGCUAACUAC